rnacentral:tRNA from 1 species
GGGGAUUUAGCUCAGCGGUAGAGCGUUUGCCUAGCAAGCACAAGGCCCUGGGUUCGGUCCCCAGCUCCG